GUCCAUGCCGUAAACGGUGGGCGCUAGGUGUGGGUUUCCUUCCACGGGAUCCGUGCCGCAGCUAACGCAUUAAGCGCCCCGCCUGGGGAGUACGGCCGCAAGGCUAAAAACUCAAAGGAAUUGACGGGGGCCCGCACAAGCGGCGGAGCAUGUGGAUUAAUUCGAUGCAACGCGAAGAACCUUACCAAGUCUUGACAUCCUGCGACGGUGCUGGAAACAGUACUUUCCUUCGGGACGCAGAGACAGGUGGUGCAUGGUUGUCGU
rnacentral:rRNA from 1 species